UACGAAGGGGGCUAGCGUUGCUCGGAAUCACUGGGCGUAAAGGGUGCGUAGGCGGUUUUCUAAGUCAGAGGUGAAAUCCUGGAGCUCAACUCCAGAACUGCCUUUGAUACUGGAAGUCUUGAGUAUGGGAGAGGUGAGUGGAACUGCGAGUGUAGAGGUGAAAUUCGUAGAUAUUCGCAAGAACACCAGUGGCGAAGGCGGCUCACUGGCCCAUAACUGACGCUGAGGCACGAAAGCGUGGGGAGCAAACAGG
rnacentral:rRNA from 1 species